CACGUAGUUAGCCGGUGCUUAUUCUUACGGUACCGUCAUGGGCCCCCCGUAUUAGAAGGAGCUUUUUCGUUCCGUACAAAAGCAGUUUACAACCCGAAGGCCUUCAUCCUGCACGCGGCAUUGCUGGAUCAGGCUUUCGCCCAUUGUCCAAAAUUCCCCACUGCUGCCUCCCGUAGGAGUCUGGGCCGUGUCUCAGUCCCAGUGUGGCUGGUCGUCCUCUCAGACCAGCUACAGAUCGUCGGCUUGGUAAGCUUUUAUCCCACCAACUACCUAAUCUGCCAUCGGCCGCUCCAAUCGCGCGAGGCCCGAAGGUCCCCCCGCUUUCAUCCUCAGAUCGUAUGCGGUAUUAGCUACUCUUUCGAGUUAGUUACUCCCCCACGACUGGGCACGUUCCGAUGUAAUUCUCACCCGUUCGCCACUCGUCAGCGUCCGAAGACCUGUUACCGUUCGACUUGCAUGUGUAAGGCAUGCCCGCCAGGCGUUCAACUCCGGAGCCGAAGGAUCCAAAACGUCUUCUAGGACGACGUCG
rnacentral:rRNA from 1 species